UGCAUGGAGCCGACCUUGAAAUACCACCCUUUAAUGUUUGAUGUUCUAACGUUGGCCCGUAAUCCGGGUUGCGGACAGUGUCUGGUGGGUAGUUUGACUGGGGCGGUCUCCUCCUAAAGAGUAACGGAGGAGCACGAAGGUUGGCUAAUCCUGGUCGGACAUCAGGAGGUUAGUGCAAUGGCAUAAGCCAGCUUGACUGCGAGCGUGACGGCGCGAGCAGGUGCGAAAGCAGGUCAUAGUGAUCCGGUGGUUCUGAAUGGAAGGGCCAUCGCUCAACGGAUAAAAGGUACUCCGGGGAUAACAGGCUGAUACCGCCCAAGAGUUCAUAUCGACGGCGGUGUUUGGCACCUCGAUGUCGGCUCAUCACAUCCUGGGGCUGAAGUAGGUCCCAAGGGUAUGGCUGUUCGCCAUUUAAAGUGGUACGCGAGCUGGGUUUAGAACGUCGUGAGACAGUUCGGUCCCUAUCUGCCGUGGGCGCUGGAGAACUGAGGGGGGCUGCUCCUAGUACGAGAGGACCGGAGUGGACGCAUCACUGGUGUUCGGGUUGUCAUGCCAAUGGCACUGCCCGGUAGCUAAAUGCGGAAGAGAUAAGUGCUGAAAGCAUCUAAGCACGAAACUUGCCCCGAGAUGAGUUCUCCCUGAGACUUAGAGUCUCCUGAAGGAACGUUGAAGACGACGACGUUGAUAGGCCGGGUGUGUAAGCGCAGCGAUGCGUUGAGCUAACCGGUACUAAUGAACCGUGAGGCUUAACCUU
rnacentral:rRNA from 1 species